UCAGAGAGAUUGUAUAAGAAAAGAGCCUGC
rnacentral:piRNA from 1 species